UACGGAGGGUGCAAGCAUUAAUCGGAUUUAUUGGGCGUAAAGGGCGCGUAGGCGGAAAUAUAAGUCAGGUGUGAAAUCCCGGGGCUCAACCCCGGAACAGCAUUUGAAACUGUAUAUCUAGAGGGUAGGCGGAGAAAACGGAAUUCCACAAGUAGCGGUGAAAUGCGUAGAUAUGUGGAAGAACACCGGUGGCAAAGGCGGUUUUCUAGCUUAUUCCUGACGCUAAUGCGCGAAAGCAAGGGGAUCAAACAGG
rnacentral:rRNA from 1 species